rnacentral:rRNA from 1 species
CAAUAGCGUAUAUUAAAGUUGUUGCAGUUAAAAAGCUCGUAGUUGGAUUUCUGGUCGGAAGCUCCUGUCCUCUGAUGAGCGUACAAGUGCGUCCUACCAUCCUUCUGUUAACCUUUAAGGCUUUCGCGGCUUUCUAGGGGCUCAGAUAUUUUACCUUGAGAAAAUUAGGGUGUUUCAGGCAGGCUAGCGCCGGAAUACAUUAGCAUGGAAUAAUGGAAUAGGACUUUUGCCUCUUCUGUUGGUCAUGAGGCUCGAGUAAUGAUUAAUAGGGAUAGUUGGGGGCAUUAGUACUUAACUGUCAGAGGUGAAAUUCUCGGAUUUGUUAAAGACUAACUUAUGCGAAAGCAUUUGCCAAGGAUGUUUUCAUUAA